CUGGACCACGUGCAGUUCAGUAAAUCAACUGGGCCACGUGAGGUUCCGUAGAUCAACUGGACCACUUGAGGUUCCGUAGAUCAACUGGAUCACGUGAGGGUUCCGUAGAUCAACUGGACCACGUGCAGUUCAGUAAAUCAACUGUUCUAGAGCAGACAUGUAGAACAAGGAACCAUGUCAGAGAAGCAUAGAAGUUUGUUCUACGUAGCAUACUUCUAUCUGAACGUUCGACAACGUUGCGUCCCGCUGAACACACACC
ensembl:lncRNA